rnacentral:rRNA from 1 species
ACCAAAACGACUCUCGGCAACGGAUAUCUCGGCUCUCGCAUC